ACAUCAGUGAGGUAUAUCCUUGCCUGUUACUCCUUUUAGGAGUUGCAGAACGUGAUGAAUGGAGUAUAUGAGCUUGUGAUUAGUCAGCUCCCACCCUUGAGGGACUAACAACUCCUCAAGGGCCAUUCUGAU